GACGAACGCUGGCGGCGUGCUUAACACAUGCAAGUCGAACGGAAAGGCCCUGCUUUUGUGGGGUACUCGAGUGGCGAACGGGUGAGUAGCACGUGAGUAACCUGCCCUUGACUUUGGGAUAACUUCAGGAAACUGGGGCUAAUACCGGAUAGGAGCUCCUGCUGCAUGGUGGGGGUUGGAAAGUUUCGGCGGUUGGGGAUGGACUCGCGGCUUAUCAGCUUGUUGGUGGGGUAGUGGCUUACCAAGGCUUUGACGGGUAGCCGGCCUGAGAGGGUGACCGGCCACAUUGGGACUGAGAUACGGCCCAGACUCCUACGGGAGGCAGCAGUGGGGAAUAUUGCACAAUGGGCGGAAGCCUGAUGCAGCAACGCCGCGUGCGGGAUGACGGCCUUCGGGUUGUAAACCGCUUUCGCCUGUGACGAAGCGUGAGUGACGGUAAUGGGUAAAGAAGCACCGGCUAACUACGUG
rnacentral:rRNA from 1 species